UACGAGGGGGGCAAGUGUUGUUCGGAAUUACUGGGCGUAAAGCGUGCGCAGGCGGUGAUGUAAGACAGGGGUGAAAUCCCCGGGCUUAACCUGGGAACUGCAUUUGUGACUGCAUCGCUGGAGUGCGGCAGAGGGGGAUGGAAUUCCGCGUGUAGCAGUGAAAUGCGUAGAUAUGCGGAGGAACACCGAUGGCGAAGGCAAUCCCCUGGGCCUGCACUGACGCUCAUGCACGAAAGCGUGGGGAGCGAACAGG
rnacentral:rRNA from 1 species